GCCUGGCUGGCUCAGUAGGUAGAGCAUGAGACUCUUAACCUCAGGGUCAUGAGUUUAAGCCCCAUUUUGGACG
rnacentral:tRNA from 1 species